rnacentral:rRNA from 1 species
UGGGCAACCUGCCCCAGACUCUGGGAUAACUCCGGGAAACCGGGGCUAAUACCGGAUACUCCGAUCGGACGACAUCGUCUGACCGGGGAAGCUCCGACGGUCUGGGAUGGGCCCGCGGCCUAUCAGCUUGUUGGCGAGGUAACGGCUCACCAAGGCGACGACGGGUAGCUGGUCUGAGAGGAUGGCCAGCCACAUUGGGACUGAGACACGGCCCAGACCUCCGUACGGGAG